AGAAGCAGUAAUUUAAAGAAUUAGAGAUGGAUUAAGAGUGUUUAGACAAUACUUAUACCCAUUUUCUCCUAAAAGAGUCUUAAACCAACAAAAAAUUGCUUAAAAGCAGUAAACAGUUU
rnacentral:sRNA from 1 species